AAAAAAUUUUGAAAUAUUUAAAAAAGCCAAAAUAAGCUGUAUUUUCUUUUAAACCAAAAAGAGCUGAUUUUAAAGGUUUAAUUACGGGCUGGUCAAAAAAAAAAAAAAACUAAAAAAAACGUGCAAUAAACAUUCGCUUAAACAUUCCGUUUUAAUGAUUCUUAACAACAAUAAAAAAUAUUGUAAUUAAAUAUAAUUAAAAAUAACAACAAAGUGCAAUAAUUUUUGUCAUAAAAAAAACGGGGAAUUUAUUUUUAAAGUGGAAUAUUUAAAUAUUUACAUUUUGUAAUACAAAACGUUAAGUCGCUUUAAUUGUGUUCAAGCUGCAAAACUCAAUGAAAAUUUGUUCCAAAACUUAACAUAUUUGAGACCAAUUAGUAUAAUAAAGUAAUAAAAUUAAAUAAAAUAUAAAAAAUAAAUAAUUUAAUUAAACAAAAAAAUAUAAUAAAA